UCAAUUUGGAUAAGGAUAUCGAUUUAACAAUAUAUUCCAAAUUCACCACCCUAUCUUCUAUUAUUUCUCAAUCUAUCGAUGAACUUUCCAAAAAACAUUAAAACUCUGUUUAUCUCCGUCGCCACCAUCUCCGUUGCCACCAUCUACCAUCCUUAAAAAUCCAUCGAACCAAACUCCACCACCAUCAUCUCCAAUACCACCUCAUACUCCAUUAUCAGCUCCAUCACUACUUACAAAAACUAAAAUCUGGUGAUGAAUCAAUUAUCUUCAAAACCUAAUUUCGAGAAUUAGAUUAUUGGAUUCAUUUUGAUUUCAACUUGAUCCGGUUUGAGAAAACUAAAAUCGAUGAUAACAAUGAAGAAAGUCAUCAUCAAUAAUUGGAUUUGUAGAUUCAAUUAUCAAAACAAAUUAAAUAGUGGUGAUGUUGGCGGUGGUUGUGGUGGUGGUUUACGGAAAAUGGUGGUGGUGGUAAUUACUUCUUGCUGCGAAAAAAAAAGGGAAUUUUGGAGUUUGGUUUUUGUGAACAUGUUCUAAAAACUUGGGAAGUAAGCUCUCGUGCUUGCUAACUCGAACUUCGUUUCUCCAUUCUCAUGCUACUAGCUUUGAUUUUUUUCUUUGGGGAUCAACUUCUGUUGUUGACACCACAUGCGACAGUGGUGAACUGGUGGCGGGUGGUGGUGGAUUGGCGGAGGGCGGUGGCGGAUCGGCGGAGGGUGGUGGUGGAGCGGCGGUGGCAAACUGGUGGUGGUGGUGGCGGUUGGUAGGUGGUGAUCGUUAAGAGGUUGUGGUGGUGGGUAUUUGGAGGUGCUAGUGGUGGUAGAAUGGUUGCGUCCGCGGUGAAGUGGUAGAUAAAAAAAUUAUUGUAUUUUGGAAUAGAGAAAUAUAUUAUAUGAGUGAGGGUAUUAGAGUAAUCUAUUUUUAAAUGGAUACGAUUUUCAAAUGAUAGGGGUAUAUUUAUUGUUUUAUAAGGGUGUAUUUGUUGGGUAUCAAAACUAGGGGUAUAUAAUUAAUAUACCCAAAUUAGA